UAUUCUGUGGCUUAUUUGGUUAAAGUGCCAGACUAGCGAUACGAAGUCGUGGGUUCGAAUGCCACCAAAACAA
rnacentral:tRNA from 1 species